rnacentral:rRNA from 1 species
AUUGAACGCUGGCGGCAGGCCUAACACGUGCAAGUCGAGCGGAUGAAGGGAGCUUGCUCCUGGAUUCAGCGGCGGACGGGUGAGUAAUGCCUAGGAAUCUGCCUGUUAGUGGGGGAUAACGUCCGGAAACGGGCGCUAAUACCGCAUACGUCCUGAGGGAGAAAGUGGGGGAUCUUCGGACCUCACGCUAUCAGAUGAGCCUAGGUCGGAUUAACUAGUUGGUGGGGUAAAGGCCUACCAAGGCGACGAUCCGUAACUGGUCUGAGAGGAUGAUCAGUCACACUGGGACUGAGACACGGUCCAGACUCCUACGGGAGGCAGCAGUGGGGAAUAUUGGACAAUGGGCGAAAGCCUGAUCCAGCCAUGCCGCGUGUGUGAAGAAGGUCUUCGGAUUGUAAAGCACUUUAAGUUGGGAGGAAGGGCAGUAAGUUAAUACCUUGCUGUUUUGACGUUACCAACAGAAUAAGCACCGGCUAACUUCGUG